rnacentral:rRNA from 1 species
AGUUCGGUCCCUAUCCGUCGCAGGCGUAGGAAAUUUGAGAAGACCUGUCCUUAGUACGAGAGGACCGGGAUGGACGUACCUCUGGUGUACCAGGUGUCCUGCCAAGGGCAUGGCUGGGUAGCUAUGUACGGAAUGGAUAAGCGCUGAAAGCAUCUAAGCGCGAAGCCAACUUCAAGAUAAGAUUUCCCACCGCAAGGGUAAGACCCCAGAAAGACUAUCUG